GCUUGCUACCUGACCUAGCGGCGGACGGGUGAGUAAUGCUUAGGAAUCUGCCUGUUAGUGGGGGACAACAUUCCGAAAGGAAUGCUAAUACCGCAUACGCCCUACGGGGGAAAGCAGGGGAUCUUCGGACCUUGCGCUAAUAGAUGAGCCUAAGUCAGAUUAGCUAGUUGGUGGGGUAAAGGCCUACCAAGGCGACGAUCUGUAGCGGGUCUGAGAGGAUGAUCCGCCACACUGGGACUGAGACACGGCCCAGACUCCUACGGGAGGCAGCAGUGGGGAAUAUUGGACAAUGGGCGAAAGCCUGAUCCAGCCAUGCCGCGUGUGUGAAGAAGGCCUUUUGGUUGUAAAGCACUUUAAGCGAGGAGGAGGCUACUUGGAUUAAUACUCUAGGAUAGUGGACGUUACUCGCAGAAUAAGCACCGGCUAACUCUGUGCCAGCAGCCGCGGUAAUACAGAGGGUGCGAGCGUUAAUCGGAUUUACUGGGCGUAAAGCGUGCGUAGGCGGCUUUUUAAGUCGGAUGUGAAAUCCCUGAGCUUAACUUAGGAAUUGCAUUCGAUACUGGGAAGCUAGAGUAUGGGAGAGGAUGGUAGAAUUCCAGGUGUAGCGGUGAAAUGCGUAGAGAUCUGGAGGAAUACCGAUGGCGAAGGCAGCCAUCUGGCCUAAUACUGACGCUGAGGUACGAAAGCAUGGGGAGCAAACAGGAUUAGAUACCCUGGUAGUCCAUGCCGUAAACGAUGUCUACUAGCCGUUGGGGCCUUUGAGGCUUUAGUGGCGCAGCUAACGCGAUAAGUAGACCGCCUGGGGAGUACGGUCGCAAGACUAAAACUCAAAUGAAUUGACGGGGGCCCGCACAAGCGGUGGAGCAUGUGGUUUAAUUCGAUGCAACGCGAAGAACCUUACCUGGUCUUGACAUAGUAAGAACUUUCCAGAGAUGGAUUGGUGCCUUCGGGAACUUACAUACAGGUGCUGCAUGGCUGUCGUCAGCUCGUGUCGUGAGAUGUUGGGUUAAGUCCCGCAACGAGCGCAACCCUUUUCCUUAUUUGCCAGCGGGUUAAGCCGGGAACUUUAAGGAUACUGCCAGUGACAAACUGGAGGAAGGCGGGGACGACGUCAAGUCAUCAUGGCCCUUACGACCAGGGCUACACACGUGCUACAAUGGUCGGUACAAAGGGUUGCUACCUAGCGAUAGGAUGCUAAUCUCAAAAAGCCGAUCGUAGUCCGGAUUGGAGUCUGCAACUCGACUCCAUGAAGUCG
rnacentral:rRNA from 1 species